UCAAGUUAUUAAGGGUGCAGGGGCGGAUGCCUUGGCACUAGGAGCCGAUGAAGGACGUGAUAAGCUGCGAUAAGCUUCGGGGAGUUGCACGUAAACUUUGAUCCGAAGAUUUCCGAAUGAGGAAACUCACUUAGAGUAAUGUCUAAGUAUCAUUAAGUGAAUACAUAGCUUAAUGAGGGGAACUCAGGGAACUGAAACAUCUAAGUACCUGAAGGAAGAGAAAGAAAUUCGAUUCCGUAAGUAGCGGCGAGCGAACGCGGAUUAGCCCAAACCAAUAAAGUUUUCUUUAUUGGGGUUGCGGACAUAUCAUAACGAAGAGGUAUCGUAAUUGAAGAGGUUUGGAAAGACCCACCACAGAAGGUAAUAGUCCUGUAUGUUAAACGAGAAGACUUCAGAUAUGAUCCAGAGUACCACGGGACACGUGAAACCCUGUGGGAAGCAGGAGGGACCACCCUCCAAGGCUAAAUACUACCUAGUGACCGAUAGCGUAUAGUACCGUGAGGGAAAGGUGAAAAGAACCCCGGGAGGGGAGUGAAAUAGAACCUGAAACCCUGCACUUACAAGCUGUGGAAGCACAUUUCUUGUGUGACCGCGUACUUUUUGUAGAACGGGCCAACGAGUUACGUUAAGUAGCAAGGUUAAGCACUUAAGGUGUGGAGCCGUAGCGAAAGCGAGUUUUAACUGAGCGUUCAGUUACUUGACGUAGACCCGAAACCGGGCGACCUACCCAUGAGCAGGAUGAAGCGAAAGUAAAAUUUCGUGGAGGUCCGAACCCACGAGCGUUGAAAAGCUCGGGGAUGACUUGUGGGUAGCGGUGAAAUUCCAAUCGAGCCCGGAGAUAGCUGGUUCUCCCCGAAAUAGCUUUAGGGCUAGCCUCAAGGUGAGAGAUACGGAGGUAGAGCAAUGAAUGUCCUAGGGGGUAUUGCACCUACCGAAGACUAUCAAACUCCGAAUGCCGUCAUCUUAUACUUGGGAGUCAGACUGUGGGUGAUAAGAUUCAUAGUCGAAAGGGCAACAGCCCAGAUCGUCAGCUAAGGUCCCUAAAUGUAAGUUAAGUGGUAAAGGAUGUGGGAUUGCACAGACAACCAGGAUGUUGGCUUAGAAGCAGCCACUCAUUCAAAGAGUGCGUAAUAGCUCACUGGUCGAGUGAUCCUGCGCCGAAGAUUUCCGGGGCUAAAACUUACUACCGAAGCUACGGCAUCAGUAAUGAUGGGUAGGGGAGCUUCCCAUACGGGUUGAAGCAUGACCGUAAGGACAUGUGGACAGUAUGGGAGUGAGAAUGUUGGCAUGAGUAGCGAUAUGUGGGUGAGAUUUCCACAGGCCGUAAACCCAAGGUUUCCAGGGGAAGGUUCGUCCGCCCUGGGUUAGUCGGGACCUAAGCUGAGGCCGAAAGGCGUAGGUGAUGGACAACAGGUUGAUAUUCCUGUACUACCGAUAACCGUUUGAGAGAAGGGAUGACACAGUAGGAUAAGCUAAGCACACUGUUGGUUAUGUGUGCCCAAGCAUUGAGGCAGUCAAAGUAGGCAAAUCCGCUUUGAUAAUGCUGGGAUGUGAUGGGGAGCGAAAUUUAGUAGCGAAGUAGCUGAUUUCACACUGUCAAGAAAAGUCUCUAUCGAGGUUAAAGGGACCCGUACCGCAAACCGACACAGGUGGGUGAGGAGAGUAUCCUAAGGCCAGCGAGAGAACUGUUGUUAAGGAACUCGGCAAAAUGACCCCGUAACUUAGGGAUAAGGGGUGCCACCAUCAGGUGGCCGCAGAGAAUAGGCCCAAGCGACUGUUUACCAAAAACAUAGGUUUCUGCUAAGUCGCAAGACGAUGUAUAGGAGCUGACGCCUGCCCGGUGCUGGAAGGUUAAGGGGAUCUGUUAGAGCAAUCGAAGCAGUGAACUUAAGCCCCAGUAAACGGCGGCCGUAACUAUAACGGUCCUAAGGUAGCGAAAUUCCUUGUCGGGUAAGUUCCGACCCGCACGAAAGGCGUAACGAUUUGGGCACUGUCUCAACAACAGACUCGGUGAAAUUGUAAUUCCGGUGAAGAUGCCGGAUACCUGCGACAGGACGGAAAGACCCCAUGGAGCUUUACUGUAGCUUGACAUUGGGUUUUGGUACUACAUGUACAGGAUAGGUGGGAGGCUUUGAAACCAGGACGCCAGUUUUGGCGGAGCCAUCCUUGGGAUACCACCCUUGUAGUACUGGGACUCUAACCAUAGGCCAUGAAUCUGGUCUUGGGACACUGUCAGGUGGGCAGUUUGACUGGGGCGGUCGCCUCCCAAAAGGUAACGGAGGCGCUCAAAGGUUCUCUCAGUACGGUCGGAAAUCGUACGUAGAGUGUAAAGGCAAAAGAGAGCUUGAUUGCAAGACAUACAGGUCGAGCAAGGAUGAAAAUCGGACUUAGUGAUCCGGUGGUUCUGCGUGGAAGGGCCAUCGCUCAACGGAUAAAAGCUACCCUGGGGAUAACAGGCUUAUCUCCCCCAAGAGUCCACAUCGACGGGGAGGUUUGGCACCUCGAUGUCGGCUCAUCACAUCCUGGGGCUGUAGUAGGUCCCAAGGGUUGGGCUGUUCGCCCAUUAAAGUGGUACGCGAGCUGGGUUCAGAACGUCGUGAGACAGUUCGGUCCCUAUCCGUCGCAGGCGUAGGAAAUUUGAGAAGACCUGUCCUUAGUACGAGAGGACCGGGAUGGACGUACCUCUGGUGUACCAGUUGUUCUGCCAAGGGCAUGGCUGGGUAGCUAUGUACGGAAUGGAUAAGCGCUGAAAGCAUCUAAGCGCGAAGCCAACUUCAAGAUAAGAUUUCCCACCGCAAGGGUAAGACCCCAGAAAGACUAUCUGGUUGAUAGGUCGAAGGUGUAAGUGCAGCAAUGUAUUUAGCUUAUCGAUACUAAUAGGUCGAGGACUUGACCAA
rnacentral:rRNA from 1 species